AGCUACAUCUGGUUACUGGGUCU
rnacentral:ncRNA from 3 species